UUUUUUUUUUUUUUUGCAAAAAUAAUAGCACAACACCCAGUGAAAGGAACCCAAAUUCCAUAAGUUUUACAAGAAAAUUAAAUAUUAUAAGGGAAAAGAGAAGAGGAAAAAAAUGGUGCAUAUUAAAGGGAUAAACAAUGGAAACAAAUGUCAAAAAUGCACUUGGACAAACAAGUCAUAUAUGCACUGCUACUACUGACACUGCUCAAUAUGAGAAAAAAAAAAGGGCAAGAGUCCCACAAACCCUGCAACUAGUAGUUGAUGAAAAAACAUACACAGCUAGUAACUCAUUUUAUGAUUCUCUUUUUCGGUAAAUGAUGACAGCUGAAACCCCCAGCUUUCAUUCCACUAUGCAAAUAUAGCUUUGGCAAAUUCAAACUUCACUAAUUGAUAGAAUGUGGAAUUAUCCCUUCCUCAUUUUUUGCCCCUCUUCUUUGUUUGGAUCCGACUUUUUAUGCUAAAUGGAAUAAACACUUUUAACGGUUAUCAUUUUGCAAAUGCCACAAAAAGGAUGCCGAGAUUACACAGCUAUGACACACAUAUCUUUCAAUAAGACACCCUUUAAUUCAAUGAACAAACAAUUUAUGGUUAACUUCUUUUGCAUUGAUCGAGAAUACAGGCACUCCCAGUGGAAAUUUAUUGACUGAAAGACCAGAUGAAGCUCAUGAAUUAGAAAGAGCAUCCCACAAUAUUACAAUUAACAAAAUUUUAAUUUCAGUUGUCUGUGCCAGUGAUAUACAUUAAAUAUUCAUAAACCUCACAACUUGAGUCAUUGGUACAACUUAAUUUAUAAAAACUAAAAAAAAAAAGAGCUCAGAC
rnacentral:misc_RNA from 1 species